rnacentral:rRNA from 1 species
GAUGAACGCUGACAGAAUGCUUAACACAUGCAAGUCGAUGGGGAAGUGGUGCUUGCCCCAUGGCAACCAUGGCGGACGGGUGAGUAACGCGUAAGGGACUUACCUGCAGGACUGGGAUAACAGGGGGAAACUCCUGACAAGACCGGAUAAUGUCAUGGAGCUGCAUGGCUUUAUGAUGAAAGGAGACGCCUGCGGAGAGCCUUGCGUCCUAUUAGCUAGUUGGUGAGGUAAUGGCUCACCAAGGCGAAGAUAGGUAGCCGGCCUGAGAGGGUGGACGGCCACAAGGGGACUGAGAUACGGCCCUUACUCCUACGGGAGGCAGCAGUGGGGAAUAUUGGACAAUGGGGGCAACCCUGAUCCAGCAAUUCGGUGUGCACGAAGAAGGUUUUCGGAUUGUAAAGUGCUUUCAGCAGGGAAGAAGUAAGUGACGGUACCUGCAGAAGAAGCGACGGCUAAAUACGU